rnacentral:rRNA from 1 species
GAUGAACGCUGGCGGCGUGCUUAACACAUGCAAGUCGAACGGAAAGGCUCCUGCUUGCAGGGGUACUCGAGUGGCGAACGGGUGAGUAACACGUGGGUGUUCUGCCCUGCACUUCGGGAUAAGCCUGGGAAACUGGGUCUACUACCGGAUAGGACGAUGGUUUGGAUGCCAUUGUGGGAAGUUUUUCGGUUUGGGCGGGGCUCGCGGCCUAUCUGCUUGUUGGUGGGGUAAUGGCCUACCAAGGCGUAGACGGGUAGCCGGCCUGAGAGGGUGUACGGCCACAUUGGGACUGAGAGACGGCCCAGACGCCUACGGGAGGCAGCAGUGGGGAAUAUUGCACAAUGGGCGCAAGCCUGAUGCAGCGACGCCGCGUGGGGGAUGACGGCCUUCGGGUUGUAAACUCCUUCCGCUAGGGACGAAGCGCAAGUGACGGUACCUGGAGAAGAAGCACCGGCUAACUACGUG